rnacentral:rRNA from 1 species
AGGCCUGCUCAAUGAAAUUUAAAUGGCCGCAGUAUAAUGACUGUGCUAAGGUAGCAUAAUAAUUUGCCUUUUAAUUGGGGGCUGGAAUGAAAGGUUUUAUGGAAAAUAGCUGUUUUAAAAUAAAUAAUUGAAUUUAAGUUUUGCAUAAAAACUUGCAAAUUCUCUUAAGGGACGAGAAGACCCCGUGGAUUUUUAUUUGCUAAGGAAUAAAUUUUAUAAUAUUUUAUUUUUUUAACAAAUUUGGUUGGGAUGACAAUGAAUUUGACUUCACUUGUAGUUUGAUAGUGAUCCUUUUUAAGGAAAAAAGAAUAAAUUACCCCGGGGAUAACAGCGUAAUACUUUUGGACAGGACAAAUGGAUAAAAGUGUUUGCGACCUCGAUGUUGAAUUAAAAUAUCUUUAUUAAGCAUAAAUAAUGAAAGUAAGUC